UCCUCGGCUGGGGAAAACUGGAGAGGACAUUUAGUGUAGCCUACCAUAUACUUCAAGUCCGCCAGGUCUCCACACUUCCCACCUAAAAGUGAGAUCGUAACAACCCUGCCCACUCCACAGAUCUGGAUGAAAACGCCUGUCCUCUCAUAGAAAGUUGAGUAAACUUUUAAUUCCAAUGCUAAUGGCUUUGUUUCUACAGUUUAGUCCUUUCUUCCUCUCCCUUUAAGGGCACCAGUGAAACUACAGCACCAUCGCAUCCUUUUCUCCUUCCCCUCAGGAAACUCGGUUAAGUGUCCGCAUCCUCUCUUACCUCCGACCCACUGCCAGCCUCCAUCCGGGUCCCUCCCCUCUACACUGGUUGAGCUGUAGGUUCUGUCUGUCCCCUCCUUCCGCCUUCCUUAGUCCGCUAUGUUGUGUACAUCCGUCAGCUGACCUAACCCCGCCACUUCCGGCCCACACCCUUGCCCAUCCCCAGCUUCCGGUUUGUCCAAGUUCAUUUCCUCCAGUUAGUUGGUUCGACUCCCUCCUAGCCUCGGUCUCCGUCCAGAGGUACCGGUGGGUGCUCAGCGUCUUAGUAUCCUCUUCCAAAGGCUCCAUCCUAGUUCUUUAGCAGCCAACGGACUUUGGCUUAGCCUGCCAACAGGACGGACGCCGCCAGAUUCCCGCCGCUCGACGUCCGCGGGGACGUCUGGGAGUUGUAGUCCGGACCAGCGAGCCGUUGCAGUUCGGGGCAAGCCCGACUGGCGAGCGCCAUUGUGUCUUUCGCAGGCCUUGAUAGCCCUGCGUGAGAGCCCGUCGGGGACAGCAGCCCAUCUUCUGUUUUAUUUGCAACCUCUGGAGCCCAGUGUCGGUUUCGUUAGUAGCUCCACUUCUACGGACCCGAGAGAAGGUUCGUCAGCGUUCUGCCGACUCCCACUAGAGAAGACUGAAGACAGUAUGGCUUCCACGCCUCCAAGGUCCUGGCCCCAUCUGGGGGUCUCGUGAAAGAAACUGGCAAUUGUAAGAAGAGGCUCAUGUUUAGUUCUCAGCAGCUACUUUAAGGAAGCGACAACUCAAAAACAAGAGGCGUCUGUGAAGUUUGAAGAUAU